GACGAACGCUGGCGGCGUGCUUAACACAUGCAAGUCGAACGGAAAGGCCCUGCUUUUGUGGGGUUCUCGAGUGGCGAACGGGUGAGUAACACGUGAGUAACCUGCCCUUGACUUUGGGAUAACUUCAGGAAACUGGGGCUAAUACCGGAUAGGAGCUCCUGCUGCAUGGUGGGGGUUGGAAAGUUUCGGCGGUUGGGGAUGGGCUGGCGGCUUAUCAGCUUGUUGGUGGGGUAGUGGCUUACCAAGGCUUUGAAGGGUAGCCUGCCUGGGAGGGGGACCGGCGACAUGGGGACUGAGGGACGGCGCAGACUCGUACGGGAGGCAGCAGUGGGGAAUAUUGCGCAAUGGGGGGGAGCGUGAUGCAGCAGCGCUGGGUGCGGAAUGACGGCUUUCGGGUGGUAAACCGCUGUGGCCUGAAACGAAGAGUGAGUGACGGUAAUGGGUAAAGAAGCAACGGCUAACUACGUG
rnacentral:rRNA from 1 species